rnacentral:rRNA from 1 species
CCUACGGGGGGCAGCAGUGAGGAAUAUUGGUCAAUGGCCGGAAGGCUGAACCAGCCAAGCCGCGUGAAGGACGAAGGUGCCAAGCAUUGUAAACUUCUUUUGUCAAGGGACAAAAUCAGGCUCGAGAGCCUGACCGAGGGUACUUGAAGAAAAAGCAUCGGCUAACUCCGUGCCAGCAGCCGCGGUAAUACGGAGGAUGCGAGCGUUAUCCGGAUUUAUUGGGUGUAAAGGGUGCGUAGGCGGACUGUUAAGUCAGCGGUGAAAGUUUGUGGCUCAACCAUAAAAUUGCCGUUGAAACUGGUUGACUUGAGUAUAUUUGAGGUAGGCGGAAUGCGUGGUGUAGCGGUGAAAUGCAUAGAUAUAACGCAGAACUCCGAUUGCGAAGGCAGCUUACUAAACUAUAACUGACACUGAAGCACGAAAGCGUGGGGAGCAAACAGGAUUAGAUACCCGGGUAGUC